rnacentral:lncRNA from 1 species
CGCGGGGCGCUCGGGGCCCGGGGCCAGAGCUGGAGCCGGAGCCGGGCGGGCGCCAUGGAGGGGCUGCGGCGGGGGCUGUCGCGCUGGAAGCGCUACCACAUCAAGGUGCACCUGGCGGACGAGGCGCUGCUGCUACCGCUGACCGUGCGGCCGCGGGACACGCUCAGCGACCUGCGCGCCCAGCUGGUGGGCCAGGGCGUGAGCUCCUGGAAGCGCGCCUUCUACUACAACGCGCGGCGGCUGGACGACCACCAGACGGUGCGCGACGCGCGCCUGCAGGACGGCUCGGUGCUGCUGCUCGUCAGCGACCCCAGCGAGGCGCAGCGGCUCACACCCGCAAUCCCAGCACUUUGGGAGGCUGAGGCAAGCAGAUCACUUGAGUCCAGGAGUUCAAGACCAGCCUGGCCAACAUGGUGAAACCCCAUCUCUACUAAAACUACAAAAAUUAGCCGGGCAUGAUGGCGCAUGCCUGUAAUCCCAGCUACUGGGGAGGCUGAGGCAAGAGAAUCGCUUGAGUCUGGGAGGCGGAGGUUGCAGUGAGCUGAGAUCGUGCCAUUACACUCUAGUCUGGGUGACAGGGUGAAACUCCGUCUCUAAAGAAAUAAAUAAUAAAAUUUUAUUUCACGCCAUCCCUGCUUUCUCUCUUUCCCCAUCACUUGUCAGCAGCCGACUUCUCUACGUUUUACUUAUUUUUUUCACCUGUCUCCUGCAGUAGACUGUAAACUCUGUGAGGGUACUGCCGUCCAUCUUGUUCCCUGCUGGAUUGCCAGUUCAGUGCCUGGCACAUAGUAGGUGCUUAAUAAAUGUUAGUGAGAUGUAUUGUCUCACUAACAUAAUCGUGAGCAGAGGCAAGGAUUGGGCUGCUCAGAAUAUUUUUCUGGAGCUCUAGCGGUGCCUGGAUGCAGGGGAGGGAAUUUCUGGGUCAGAGGUGAGCCCUGGCAGGGGCAGGAAGAGGCACCAGCCAGACAGUGGGCAGAAUAGGGAAGCCUUGAACGCCAAGGCAAGGGCUAUGUUUUUUCUGCAACCUGUGUCUUUCUGUCUCCCUCUUUCAGGUAGUCUGGGUUGGAGGAGGCAGAGCCAUGACCAAGGGGACCUGGGUACUGGCUGAAGGAAUAGGCUGGGGUAGAGGGCACUUUUGGAAGGCACUUCUCCUGCCUCCCGGGAGCCUAGAUCUCACUCCAGGUAAGUAAUUGUAGUAGUUGAGAAAGAGAAAGGACCUUAGAGAUUGUGGAGACCAUAGAUGGGGAAACUGAGGCCCAGAGAGGAGAAGAGACAGAUGUUAUUGACCAUCAUCCCCCUCCAUACACUUAUGCUUCUGGCCUCUAGGGUAGGGACAUGGCCUUGGUGUCUCAUUUCUUUUUGGACUAACACGUGGACCAGAGCCGUGUUGCCCCUGACUUGCUGGGUGACCUUGGGAAAAUUGCUUCUCCUCUCUGGGCUCUGUUACCUGUCUCCUUACAAUAAAGGAUUGAGCUUUGAUUUGGCUUUACUGCACUCUUUGCCUGCAAUUCCUGUGACUGCCAUCAGGUGGCAGAAAACAGCCAAGUUCCAAGAGAAUCGCUUGAACCCAGGAGUCAGAGGUUACAGUGAGCCGAAAUCACGCCAUUGCACUCCAGCCUGGCGACAGAGCAGGACUCUGUCUCAAAAAAAAGAAAGAAAAAAGAAAACAGCCAAAUUCACCAGGGGCCAUCCCUGUUCCUCUUAAAGGACACAAGGGACAUCCACAGGAGGGGAUGACUGCAGAUCACUGUCCGUGUCAGGGAUGUUAGGGUCUGGGCUCCCAGGUGGACCAUGAAACCCUGGCCUGACCAGCUGAUGCACACUGCUUCAGACACUCCUGCUGGAGCCCCAGUCCCUGACAAGGACCUAGGACAUUUUUGCUCCUGCCCAGCCUAUCGGGAGGGAGCCUUGAGCCUUUCAGCUCUGCUGUGUGACUUUGAGGUUGUUGCUCCCCUCUUGGGGCCCUGGGUGCCCUGUCUUCAGUGGAAAGCACUGUGCCACCUUGGAAAGCUCCCAUGGGCAGCCAGAGGGCAUCGCAAGAAGAGAAGCACAGAAGGGGCAGGAGAGACACUCAGAGGCACUUCCGCUCUUGCCCAGGACAUUUUCCCAGCCACACCUUUGCCCAAGCCGUGCCCCCUGCCUGGAGCACUUUUCAACCUCUUCUCUGCAGCUCCAAUACACCUGGGAUUGCAGUCUCCUCCAGGAAGUCUUCUCAGAUUCCCUCCUUCCCAGCCAGAGAGCACCUAGCCUUCUUUGGGGCCCCCACAGGCCCUUUGUGCAGUGAACAGCCCUGGCUGGGGGUGCAGCCAGUCGUGUCCGAACUCUCCAAUGACUAAGCGGGGAGAUGCGGACAUCCUAGCUCCUUCUCAGGCCUCCAACUGUGCCCCAUUUCCACCCCCAAAUACCUCCCCAGGAGGCACCUGUGCCCACCCCCUGGGCUGUUUCCCCCUUCCCCUUAAAUCCGGAUGCCUCGUCUUGCAUAGGGUCUUGGGGCAGCGGGGAAGGGGUUCUGAAGAACUCUGGCCAAGAGGACGAGGAUCUGGGGGUGGGGAACUGGGCCUAGCUGUGGGAGGUCAUCGCGGGGCAUUGCAGGGAGUGCGUUGUGGGAAUUCCGGGUGGAGACCCUCAGGGCAGUGUGCCGGGCCUCCGUUGCACCUCUGACCUGCAGCCACGUCAUCGUUGCGCAGCCCCUGGGGAGGGUCUUUGGGGAGGGGGUGCCGAGGCUACGCAUGUCCUCGAGGGCCGUGUACACUCUCCAGGCACCAUGGGCGGAGGCGCCAGAGGCUGGGAAGAAAUAAUGUUUUAGUUAAGAGUCCUGUUGGCUGCAGGACUCAGAGCAUGGACAGGUGGAUAGUAAAUCACCACCACGGGGACAGCCGUGCCCAGACUGUGCGUUUGCUUAGCUCGGGGACAGCACUUGGCCCGGGGUCUCCUGCUCGCCUCCCUUCAGAGCAUCUGCCAAACUUCGGGCAUCUACCCUGCAAUUCCCGCUUGGCUGAGAGGAGGGGGAGAAGGAGGGGAAGAGAGAGGAGCCCCACUUCACUCCGGCAGGCAGACCUGCUGGAGCUGCUUUGCAGAAUGACUUGGGUCUUGCUGGCCCCUGGGUGUGCCUGGAGGGGGGUCUUCCUAUCCCCCUCCACCUCUCCCCUUGGUGCCUAACCCAGGACUUUGUCCCCAGAGACCCACUGUGUGCCCCCUGGAGCUCCUCCUAGAGCAGAGUCUGCUGCUGUCUGUUCUGCAGAGGGUAGCCUGAGGCCCAAGGAGGUUGUCAGGGACACACAGCAGGGGGAGGCAGCCCAGAUCCCUGCUCAUGCGUGGUUUGGGCCUCUGCUAACAGCUGGGCCACAUGCGUGUAUCUAGAGCCUGGGUCCCCUCUGUCCUCAUUUCCCUGUGCAUAUUCAGGGACAUGCCUCGUCAGGGUUUGGCAAGAAAAUGGGGCAUUUAAUAAUCUCCCCAGUUUCAUUCCUUGGUCCUUACUCCAUGCCAGGACUUGUGCACAUCUUUUUGGAGCCCUGUCUCACUUGAUUGACAGCCGGCCAGGCGCGGUGGCUCACGCCUGUAAUCCCAGCACUUUGGGAGGACGAGGCAGGCGGAUCAUGAGGUCAGGAGAUGGAGACCAUCCUGGCUAACACGGUGAAACCCCGUCUCUACUAAAAGUACAAAAAAAAUAGCCGGGCCUGGUGGCGGGCGCCUGUAGUCCCAGCUACUUGGUAGGCUGAGGCAGGAGAAUGGCGGGAACCCGGGAGGCAGAGGUUGCAGUGAGCUGAGAUCACGCCACUGCACUCCAGCCUGGGCGACAGAGCGAGACUCCGUCUCAAAAAAAAAAAAAAAAAAGAUUGACAGCCUCACUGCUCAGGGGCCAGGAUAACAGCCCAUUUUACAGAUGGCUUUUGGCUUGCCCAAGGUCACCACCCUCUGAACUGAGGCGUCCCCAACCCAUGCCGGGAGCUGGUGGAGGAAGUGGGGAAGGGUUUCCCGCUUCUCCACUGGGGGUGGAGGUGGGAGAAAGCAUUUUCAGGGUGUUUUGACAUUUAACAAACAGUAUGCAAAUCACAUGCAAAUCGCAUGCAAAUCACCACCCAUUUCUUAAGCCUCGACAGCGCUGGCAUGUUCUGAAAUAAUAAUGUUGGACCUGUCCCUUGAUGAUGACCUGGGUCGGGAGGUGCACGGCCUUUUCCUUCCUCCGUCUUCCCUUCCCUUCCCUUCCCUUCCCAUCUGUUCUCCCUUCCUUCGCCCCCUUCCUUUCCUCUCCCUCCCUAUCUUCCAUUUUUCUCUUCUUCCUUCACAUCAUUUGUCCAAGACCUCCCUGGCCUGAGAUAAACAUAAGUUGCAAAAGUGGCUUCCUGCAGCCCAUUUUCCAGGUUGGGAAACUGAGGCAUGGGCCUAAGGUCCCACAGCCACACCGAGGAAAGCAGCCCCCACUGAAUGUCACCAUGCACCAAAGUGCAUGGUCCUCGUGACACAAAGAGGGGAGAUGACAGUGGCUGGAGUUGUCAGAGCUGCUUUGAGGAAGCUCCAGGCCUGAUAGGCUUGACAGGGCCAAGGGGAACUAUUGUGGAAUGUCUUGGCCUUGAAUGACAGGCUGCUGAUUUUGGAUCUGGAGAAAGCUCACACUGACUCUUCCUGCUCCCCCAGUCUGUUUUUCUCCUGCUACUCCAUCCAUGUAUCCCUGAGUUUGGGCCACAGUCCCUCCACUUGGUUUGCAUGUCCCACCUUCUUUGUUUGGCAAGCUCCUAUUCAUCCUUCAAAGCCCUAGCUUCAAUACCUGCUACUUCAUGCAGCCAUUGCUUAUCCUUCAAGGAGAGCCUACUUCCCUCAAGGACCCUGCUGCUUCCAGUCUCACCUUCUGACUCACUCGGGAUCCACUGAACUGGGAGGUCUGUGUCUCCUCCCAGCAGAGUCAUCACUACCUUUGGGGCCGCAGGAUCACCCAGCUUGGAACUAGAUACAGAAAUGCUGUUUUGAGAGUGUACUGAAUAAAAGAUUACAUGUUUGAAAACAA